GAUUUCUUGGGAAGGGUUUAAAUGCCAGGGGGCUGUAGGCAUCCAGCAGAAGGAGAAAGGAAGAGACUGAGUAAGCCAAGAUUGCUCCAAGCUCCACUCUCAGAUAAAACCUUCUUCAGGGAAGCUUUCACAAAUGAAGACUGCUGUGAUCUGCUGGUGCCUUUUCAGCAUCGCCUUGGCUUUGCCAAUUAACCAUGAAAAACAUGGCAAUGUUGAGAGGGACGCGGAAAUAAA